GAGCCGAGCCGGGCCGAGCCGAGCCGGGCCGAGCCGAGCCGGGCCGAGCCGAGCCGGGCCGUGCGGGGUCCGAGGGAUGCGGGCCGCGCUCACCUGGCGCGACAGGGCCGAGCAGUGCAUUUACGACCUCGCGUUCAAGCCGGAUGGGACCCAGCUGAUAAUUGCUGCUGGAAACAGGCUGCUGGUGUAUGAUACUUCUGAUGGAACCCUAAUUCAGCCUUUGAAGGGACAUAAAGACACUGUGUACUGCGUGGCUUAUGCCAAAGAUGGCAAGCGUUUCGCAUCUGGCUCUGCUGAUAAAAGUGUGAUUAUUUGGACUUCAAAGUUGGAAGGAAUUCUGAAGUACACGCAUAAUGACUCUAUCCAGUGCGUUUCAUACAAUCCUCUCACUCAUCAGUUGGCAUCCUGCUCGUCUGGGGAUUUUGGCUUGUGGUCUCCAGAACAGAAGUCAGUCUCUAAACAUAAAACAAGCAGCAGGAUUACUUGCUGUAGCUGGACAAAUGAUGGCCAGUACCUGGCUUUGGGGAUGUUCAACGGCAUUGUCAGCAUAAGGAACAAAAAUGGUGAUGAGAAGGUGAAAAUAGAGAGGCCGGGGGGCUCUUCCUCUCCAGUGUGGUCAAUUUGUUGGAAUCCUUCCAGAGAUGAACGCAAUGACAUUUUAGCUGUUGCAGACUGGGGUCAGAAGCUUUCCUUUUACCACCUGAGUGGCAAGCAGAUUGGGAAGGACAGAGUGCUCAAUUUUGACCCGUGCUGCAUCAGCUACUUUACUAAAGGAGAGUAUCUCUUGCUGGGAGGUUCAGACAGACAGGUUUCUCUCUUCACGAGGGACGGGGUACGCCUGGGCACUGUGGGAGAGCAGAGCAGCUGGGUGUGGACCUGCAAAGUUAAACCAGACUCCAACUACGUGGCAGUAGGGUGUCAGGAUGGAACAAUCUCCUUCUACCAGCUGAUUUUCAGCACUGUCCAUGGCCUCUAUAAAGACCGCUACGCCUACAGGGACAACAUGACCGAUGUCAUUGUCCAGCACCUCAUCACGGAGCAAAAAGUUAGGAUAAAAGGCAGAGAGCUUGUGAAGAAAAUUGCAAUCUACAAAAACAGAUUAGCCAUCCAGAUGCCAGAGAAAAUCCUGAUUUACGAGUUGUACUCGGAUGACUCUGCAGAUAUGUACUAUCGGGUGAAGGAAAAGAUCAUAAAGAAAUUUGAAUGUAACUUGCUGGUGGUGUGUUCAGAUCACAUUAUUUUAUGCCAGGAGAAGAGACUGCAGUGCCUCUCAUUCAGUGGUGUUAAAGAACGAGAAUGGCUGAUGGAAUCUCUUAUUCGUUACAUUAAAGUAAUUGGAGGACCUCCAGGAAGAGAAGGCCUCUUAGUUGGUCUGAAGAAUGGUCAGAUCCUGAAGAUCUUCGUGGACAACGCGCUGGCGAUCGUGCUGCUGAAGCAGGCCACGGCCGUGCGCUGCCUGGACAUGAGCGCGUCGCGCAGCAAGCUGGCCGUGGUGGACGAGAACGACACCUGCCUCGUCUACGACAUCCACACCAAGGAGCUCCUGUUCCAGGAACCCAAUGCUAAUAGUGUGGCCUGGAAUACCCAGUGUGAGGAUAUGCUUUGCUUUUCUGGAGGGGGUUACCUCAAUAUCAAAGCUAGCAACUUCCCUGUCCACCAGCAAAAACUGCAAGGCUUUGUUGUGGGUUACAAUGGCUCCAAGAUCUUCUGCCUUCAUGUUUUCUCUAUGUCAGCAGUUGAAGUUCCGCAGUCUGCACCCAUGUAUCAAUAUCUGGAAAGAAAAAUGUUUAAAGAAGCCUAUCAAAUUGCAUGUUUAGGAGUGACUGAGGCCGACUGGAGAGAGCUGGCCAUGGAAGCUUUGGAAGGGCUGGAGUUUGAAACUGCUAAAAAGGCAUUUACCAGAGUGCGAGACCUUCGGUAUUUAGAACUGAUCAGCAGCAUAGAGGAUCGGAAAAAGCACGGAGAGAACAACCACGAGCUGUUCCUGGCAGAUGUGUAUGCCUACCAGGGGAAGUUCCAGGAGGCAGCCAAGCUGUACAAGAGGAGCGGCCACGAGAGCCUGGCCCUGGAGAUGUACUCGGACCUGCGCAUGUUCGAGCACGCCAAGGAAUUUCUGGGAUCUGGAGAUCCCAAAGACACAAAGAUGCUGAUAAAAAAGCAGGCGGACUGGGCCAAGGAUAUCAACGAGCCAAAGGCAGCAGUGGAGAUGUACCUCUCUGCUGGAGAGCACAUGAAGGCCAUCGAAAUCAGCGGCAGCCACGGCUGGGUGGAUAUGUUGAUCGAAAUUGCUCGAAAACUGGAUAAAGCUGAGCGUGAGCCUUUGGCCAAAUGUGCCUUCUAUUUUAAGCAACUUGACAACCCUGGCUAUGCUGCAGAAACCUACAUGAAGGUUGGUGACCUGAAAGCAUUGGUCCAGCUCCACGUGGAGACUCAUCACUGGGAAGAAGCAUUUGCUCUGAGUGAAAAGCAUCCUGAAUUCAAAGAUGAAGUCUAUGUCCCUUAUGCUCAGUGGCUGGCAGAGAGUGAUCGGUUUGAGGAAGCCCAGAAAGCGUUCCACAGGGCCGGCAGGCAGGGGGAGGCCGUGCGGGUGCUGGAGCAGCUCACCCACAACGCCGUGCUCGAGAGCCGCUUCGACGACGCCGCCUAUUACUACUGGAUGCUUUCCAUGCAGUGCCUAGACAUCGCCCAAGAGAACGAAGGACAGCAGACUGAAAUGUUGCAGAAGUUUCAUCACUUCCAGCAUUUGGCAGAAGUUUACCAUGUCUAUCACUUUAUCCAAAGAUACACUGAGGAACCUUUCAGCUUCCACUUGCCUGAAACCCUCUUCAAUAUUUCCAGGUUUCUGCUUCACAGCUUAACAAAGGAGACUCCUUUGGGGAUCUCUAAAGUCAAUACAUUAUUGGCCCUGGCAAAGCAGAGUAAAGCUCUUGGUGCAUAUAAAUUGGCUCGUCAUGCCUAUGACAAGCUGCAGGGACUGCAGAUCCCAGACAGGUUCCAGAAAUCUGUUGAGCUGGGCAGCCUGACAAUCCGAUCCAAGCCAUUCCAUGACAGUGAAGAGCUCGUGCCCCUGUGUUACAGGUGCUCCACCAACAACCCCUUGCUGAACAACCUGGGGAACGUCUGCAUCAACUGCAGGCAGCCUUUCGUCUUCUCAGCCUCCUCCUACGAGGUGCUGCAUCUGGUUGAGUUCUAUUUGGAAGAUGGCAUCACGGAUGAAGAAGCUGUAGCUCUCAUUGAUCUUGAAGCUCCAAGAGUUUAAACCUUUCUGUCAUAUGACUGAUGUAAGUACAAUUGCAUCUUGUUUCUUUGUUGUGUUAGUAUAACAAACAAAACAUGGUUUAACUAAACCUAGUAUUGUCAAGAUGCUUUUCCAUCAGGACAGUUUAUUUACAAUCCUGGCAAUGUUUGUUUUUAACAGUGGAAUGCCAUGCUUUACCUAUUCUGUGUGAACUGCUUUCUGACAAGGAUGAAGGGAAUCUGGAGUGUGUUGCUUCUAAUGACAGCUUCUUUUAGAGGCUGCCUUCUCCUAGCCAAGGGAAGUAGCACUUCACAACUGUUCCUGUUGAGAUCUGGUUUGGAAUGUUUUGGCAUCCAGAGCUCCCAGUUGCUGUUGGGGUUAUAGAAUAUGAGAUUGAUGUAGAGUAAUGCACAAGAACACACAAACUCUGACUAAAGCUGCCCAAAAAUGCAACUUCAAUAGACUGCUUCCUUUGCUCUGUCAUCUGUGGAAGGGUAAGAGCUGAUGUCAUGCCUGGAUGUGGUCAGUCUGUUCUGGCUGUUCUACAGCAGCUGCAGUGAUAAACUUCCCCAGUGACUGAAACCCCAGCAAGGCCUUCUUGGGACUUUUUGUAAUGGUCGGGGGACUGUCACAAUUUGAGACACUCUGAAGCAGCAAGGGUCCUGCUGGGGUGCUGUCACACUGAUUCUGUCAGUGCUGGCUGUGGGAAGCAGAGCCAGUUUUGCAGGAAUUCUUGUCCUUCCUUAAGACAUGCAUCCAGAGGUUCAGAGUUUGAAGCUUGAUGACAGUACAGAUAUUACUGAGGAUGAUGAUCCCUUUACAGCAAAACUGAGCUUUGAGCAGGGAGGCUCCGCGUUCGUGCCCGUGGUGGUGAGCCGCGCCGUGCUGCGCGCCAUGAGCCGCAGGGAC